CUACGGGAUGCUGCAGUGAGGAAUAUUGCACAAUGGGGGGAACCCUGAUGCAGCAACGCCGCGUGGAGGAUGACGCAUUUCGGUGUGUAAACUCCUUUUAUAUGUCAAGAAAAUGACGGUAGCAUAUGAAUAAGCACCGGCUAACUCCGUGCCAGCAGCCGCGGUAAUACGGCGGGUGCAAGCGUUACUCGGAAUCACUGGGCGUAAAGGACGCGUAGGCGGGUUGGAAAGUCAGGUGUGAAAUCCUACAGCUUAACUGUAGAACUGCACUUGAAACUUCUAAUCUAGAGUAUGGGAGGGGGGGAUGGAAUUAGUGGUGUAGGGGUAAAAUCCGUAGAUAUCACUAGGAAUACCUAAAGCGAAGGCGAUCUCCUGGAACAUUACUGACGCUAAGGCGUGAAAGCGUGGGGAGCAAACAGGAUUAGAUACCCCCGUAGUC
rnacentral:rRNA from 1 species